UAGGAGGAGCAACUCUCCUGGUUUGCCUGAGACUGAGUAGUUUCCUAAGAUAGGAGAUGUUCAGUGCUAAAACCAGGACAGU
ensembl:miRNA